UACGGAGGGUGCAAGCGUUAAUCGGAAUUACUGGGCGUAAAGCGCACGCAGGUGGCUGAGUCAGUCGAUUGUGAAAGCCCCGGGCUCAACCUGGGAAUUGCAUUCGAGACUGCAUUGCUGGAGUACGGAAGAGGAAGGCGGAAUUCCCGGUGUAGCGGUGAAAUGCGCAGAUAUCAGGAGGAACACCGGUGGCGAAGGCGGGUCUCUGGGCCGAUACUGACGCUGAGGAGCGAAAGCGUGGGGAGCGAACAGG
rnacentral:rRNA from 1 species